ACGUGUGUCGCUGGCUUGUCAUUCGACUUGGUGGGUGUCGCUUCAAUAAGUUUUAGCCCCAGUCACAGAUUACAUAAUACCCCAGUACCCCAGUGUACCAUGCUGAAAUAUUUUCGUCCAACAUGCGUCGUUUCGAAGUCAUUCGACACCAAGUAGGCACCCGUUUAACAAAGGUUUGGGUUCUUUGAGCAUAACACUGUCCAUGCACAAAAAAUGAUUGACACUGAUAGCAGAUAAAAAUGAUAAGUGUCACUAUUGAAAAAUAGACGAUCAUAAGUGUAAAAAAAAUGGGUGUGUAAAUUUCUGUAACACAAAAAUCAAUAAACCAUAAGCCGAAAUGAACCAUAACUAGCAGAGGAACUGCACAUUUUCCACUUCAUAUCCAAUAUAGUAUGGACUAAAAAGGAGCUCUCUAUUUUGCAAUGGCACCUUCUAUGCACCCCCCUUGCACGCCCACGGCGUCGUGUCAACCGAUACGUUGCCACCCCACUCCACCAAUUUGCAGUCGUCCAGAAAAAUGUUUGCGAAAGACCAUCUCCAAAGGAGUCAGGCCAUGCCCGAGCGCAGCUUCUAUCAUGGCAACAAGAUCCAAGGCACAAUGCGGCUCAUGUUGUGCUUCCGGUUGCGGCAAAUAUCAAGGAGAAAAUAGACCAAGACGGGUUAAAAGUGUCGAGAAGUAUCUUAAAAAGAAAAAGAAGGAAAAUAAAAUGAAAAGAAGAGAUCGUAUAUAUGGAACUCACUCAUAUCUAAAUUAUACUAGAAAAAAGGGUUCUACAAGGUCAAGUAUAAGUUGCUGUGCCGGAAAGGGUCACAGAGGGAGACUGAGACGGAAACGUUGUUGUACCAUACUGUAAAGUUCUUACCCACAUACCUACACAAUGUUUUACAAUUUCACAUAUACCUAUAUAUCAAAAUAAAGUACUUCAAAUAAUUUCUGUUAA